UAAGUACUCCCUCCGUCCAACAAAAGAUGUCUCAAGUUUGAUCAAAUUUGAAUGCAUCUAUAUACUAAGUCAUGUCUAGAUACAUCCAAAUUUUGACAAACUUGAGACAUCUUUUGUUGGAUGGAGGGAGUAUAAC
rnacentral:pre_miRNA from 1 species